GGUCCUAUAGUGUAGCGGUUAUCACAGUGGAUUCUGAUAGAUUGAUCUGACUAUGUUUCAAUUCCACUAACGCAGGUUCGAUUCCUGCUAGGACCU
rnacentral:tRNA from 2 species